rnacentral:rRNA from 2 species
UUUGACCUGAAAUCAGGUAGGGCUACCCGCUGAACUUA